GGGCACGCUUUGGACUACCAGUGCGCGUGCGCAUAGCUAGAGCCGCGGACCUUUGGGGAGGUUGGAGAUGGCCGCCGCCGGGGAAGCUUCGUCGGAGCCGGCGGCUUCAGAACAACCAACGGAGCUGUCUGCCUCAGUGCGGGCGAGCAUAGAGCGGAAGCGGCAGCGGGCGCUGAUGCUGCGCCAGGCCCGGCUGGCGGCCCGGCCUUACCCGGCGACGGCAGCUGCAACUACUGGAGGCAUGGCUAAUGUAAAAGCAGCCCCAAAGAUAAUUGACACAGGAGGAGGCUUCAUCCUGGAGGAGGAAGAAGAGGAAGAACAUACAGUUGGAAAAGUUGUUCAUCAACCAGGACCUGUUAUGGAAUUUGAUUAUGUUAUAUGUGAAGAAUGUGGUAAAGAGUUCAUGGAUUCUUACCUUAUGAACCACUUUGAUUUGGCAACUUGUGAUAAUUGCAGAGAUGCUGAUGAUAAACAUAAGCUUAUAACUAAAACAGAAGCAAAACAAGAAUACCUUCUGAAAGAUUGUGAUUUAGAAAAAAGAGAACCAGCGCUUAAAUUUAUUGUGAAGAAGAAUCCUCAUCAUUCACAGUGGGGUGAUAUGAAACUCUACUUAAAACUACAGAUUGUGAAGAGGUCUCUUGAAGUUUGGGGUAGUCAGGAAGCAUUAGAAGAAGCGAAGGAAGUUCGACAGAAAAAUCGAGAAAAAAUGAAACAGAAGAAGUUUGAUAAAAAAGUAAAAGAGGUUGGUGGAUAUGUUCCUGUCCUCCUGACUAGGCCACAGAGGGCUGAGAGUGGAGUAGACACUGUAGAGAUUAGAAGCAAGGAGCUUACUAUGCAGUUUGCUCAGAAGGCUCAGGACAGAGAGGAAUAAAAGCAAGUCUAAAAGUUUUCUUAGUUGAAAGAAAUUGGAACCUGGUUCCUCUUGGUCUUCUGAUUUUGAUCCACAAAGAAGCUGACACAAAGUUUACUUCUUUAUAGAAAGAAUUACGGCGAGCAGUAAGAAGCAGUGUAUGGAAAAAGCAAACAGUUGCUCAUCAACAUGAGUAUGGGGCUGAAGAAAACCUAGAGGAUGACAUGUACCGGAAGACUUGUACUGUGUGUGGCCAUGAACUGACAUAUGAGAAAAUGUGAUGUUUAGUGAUCUGUUCUACAGUGUGGAAAUUUAGAUUGGUCCUGUUCAAAAUUCACCAAAAUGUAAAGUCUUCAUAAAUGAAACACUUGUAUAAAUAAUGCUCCAAUAAUUAUGUAUGUUAUGGCUUAACAGCAAGUUUCAGUUAAGGUCCAGCAGGUCUGGUGGGCAAAACACUAAGUGUGUGACCAUUUUUUCUAUAAUAAGGGUGGGAGCUGAGCAAUAGAAUGGGUUUUAAAGUGUUAGCUUAGAGCUAAAACUGAGAAAUAAGCGACCAAGCCAAACCCUCGAUUGAGGUAGAAGGAAGAGCUUUUAGCAGUAAAGGCAAAAGCUGGCCAAGCUGGAUUCAUAUCCCAGAAACCAGCAGGGAUGGUGGUAGACUGCUGCACCCCAGACCCUGGACCAGGUCUUCUAGACCAUGUCUGUCUCUAAGGGUAUGAGGGAGCUUUGCUGGGACAAGUUUUCUGUAUCCUUAGGGUUUAUGAUAGAUCUUAGUGUCUGGAUAUGCCUUUUCAAAUCUGGGUAAAAUAGAAAAACAGCUAAACUGUUUGUUGAUCAAAGGCAAUAACUUGUUAACAUUCACUGUGCAUUUUCUGUAUAUCAUCAUGCAAACACUAUGCAAAGUGCCUUACAGGUAUUCUCAUAUAAUCCUGGGAGGGAAAACAGCUUGCUUCUGUGUUUAUGUAGCACUUCUAAAGGAAUGGUAACCUACAACUUGACAUCACCCCAGACAUUUGGAUCAAGUUUAAAUAGUCAAAUAUUACCCUAUCUUGUCAAAAGGAUUACAGGGUAGUUACCUGGUAAGAGCAAUUGAUCCCAAGUGCUUGAUUAACAGGGUGCAUGAAUUUUUUUUUUUUUUAUAAAAACAAAUUCAAGAUAACUUCAAGUUGUUGUUUGACAGGACUUUUUAUCUUACUGCAACAAAUAGGAAGUUUUUAUACAUUUUCAUGUUUUUCUUCAGAUCAGCUCUUGGAGAUUAUGCUUGAAGAAGGGCAAAAGUCAAAACAAGUCAAAGCCAAAGACUUGAAACUGUCAUUACUAACAGUUCUCUAUAGAAGUAUUCAAUACUGAAAUGGUUAAUAUGUUUUUCGAAUAUUGAUUUUUUUCAUGUGCUAUGCUGAAUAUUACAGCUCAGUAAAAAUAGAUUCUGAAUGGGCAGCAAGACCUUCUCUGGACAAAAUAAAAAGCUUCCGGCAAGUAACUAGGGGUUCAGGCUGCUGAGAACUGCAUUGGGAGAUAAGGAACCCUUGAACCACCACAUGGACAUAGUUUUAGAUUCCAUUUACUAGCUGUGGACCUUGGGUAAGUUACUCAGUGGGCUUGUUUUUAUCUGUCACAUAGACAUAAUAAAUAAUCUAAUGACUGUCAUGAUUAAAUAUGGCAAAUCUAUAGCAAAUGACACGUAAGUUAUUAAUGAGCAUGUAUUAUCGAGACCAGUAUAGCUAAGACUUGUCUAGUUGAGGUGGGCUUCCAGUCAAUCACUCUUUACCUUCAUCAAUCUAAGACAGUUCUGGUGUCCAGAUAUCACUGACAGCCAUAUAUGCUCUACUCAGGUCGCCAGGUUCUGUCCUCAUCUUUCAUUUUCAGAUAUAACUGUAGAUUGUUAAUAAGCCAUAGAAAUCACUGCUAAGUACUUUCCAGGAAAAGCAAGCAAACUUUAUCUUCAUUUGAACUGCUGAGUAACUCCUGUGAGCUUUAGAGUCAAGGAAAACAAAAAUUAUGUUUACUUGGACAAAAGCAUGUUAAAUGGCAUCAGUGCAGUUUAAGAGCAUAUUGAUUUAUUGCAAGGUACGAUGUACAGUGUGACGUGCUGUUCUUGUCUCUGUGAGCUUCAUUUGUGGGGAGAGCGAUUGUUGAAUGUUUGUUUCUUCAGAAUUCAAUCUCUGGUUUGGUUUUUCCAUAUACCUAGUUUGCCAGACUGGAUAAGAGCAGGGUCACAUUAGUGAGCAUUUGUUAGAAGCAACCAUUACACGUGAAGAGAGGGUCUAAGAGGAAGGAGGUGG